rnacentral:rRNA from 1 species
AUGGCCAUGGCAACCAAUUAUUCAAUCUCCAACGCACCAUUUACCUUUAAACCAUUUGCCCCGCAUAAACAAGUUCCAAAUUGGAGAUUUCCUACAAUUAGCAGUGGUGAUGGUGGUGGGAGCAUUUUCACUAUAUCAAGGAGGAAUUUAAGAACUUGGUUCCAUGUCUGCGCUGUCACUGGGGACCGGAGCACCCGCGACGUCUUCAGUGCAAAUUUCCCAAGCGAUUACACAGAACUCAUAGUGCAGGCUAAAGAAGCUACAGAAUCAGCUUUUAAGGAUGGAAAACAGCUAUUGGAAAUAGAGUUUCCUACAGCAGGACUACAAUCUGUACCAGGCGAUGGCGAAGGUGGAAUCGAGAUGACAGGAAGCAUGCUUCUCAUUAGAGAAUUUUGCAAUCGCUUCGUACCUGCAGAGAAAGUUACCAGGACCAGAAUUUUCUUCCCUGAGGCAAAAGAGGUUACUUUUGCGAGACAGUCAACUUUUGAAGGGUGUUCAUUGAAAUUAGAUUACCUAACAAAACCAUCCUUAUUCGAAGAUUUUGGUUUUACGACGAAGGUCAAAAUGGCAGACCGUGUGCGGCCUGAAGACGAGAUAUUCCUUGUGGCCUAUCCCUAUUUCAAUGUCAAUGAAAUGCUUGUGGUGGAAGAGCUUUACAAGGAAGCAGUUCUUAAUACAGAACGGAAAAUGAUUAUCUUCAAUGGAGAACUAGAUCGGAUAAGAAGUGGAUAUUACCCGCCCUUUUUCUAUCCAAAGUUGGGUGAACUUUCCAAGACCUUUCUUCCGAAACUGGAGACCAUUUACUAUAUUCACAAUUUUAAAGGAUCCAAAGGGGGAGCACUUUUCAGGUGUUACCCUGGCCCUUGGAAGGUGCUGAGAAAAGUAGGUGGCAGCUUUGUCUGUUUACAUGAACAAGAGGAGAUGCCAUCACUGAAAGAAGUGGCCCUCAACAUACUUCCUUCUGCCUGA